GACACUAUAGCUUAGUGGUUGAGCAUACGAUUGCAAUGGGUCUUGCCGCUACCAUGUAUCGUGAGGUCCCGUGUUCGAACCACGGUAGUGUCU